GCCCCUAUAGCUCAGCUGGAUAGAGCGUCCCCCUCCUAAGGGGAAGGCCUGUGGUUCGAAUCCACAUGGGGGCGCCA
rnacentral:tRNA from 1 species